GAUCAUUGAAGGAGGAAUUAAGAAAUGGCUCUAAACCAAAGGUUUUUCAUGGCAGCCUUGUUUGUUGUUCUUCUAUUCUCAAUUGGUAUGCACAAAACUGAAUGUAGAAAUAUUGUACAUGUUAAGUGCAUUGGAUUUUGUCAAGAUUAUAUAGAUUGUAAUACCGCAUGCAAACAUGCUGGUUUUAGUAAAGGGCAAUGCCUUACAGGCCUCCCCCCUAAUGCUGAGGAUUGUUGUUGUGUUCUUAAUUGACAUUGAAAAUUAGAGUUUUUUCUUCUUGUUCAAAUAAAAUAUGUAUUAUGUUUCAUAAAUAUGUAAGUUUCAUUACAAAGAAAUAAAAAUAUGAUAUAUUAUCAUCAACAA